rnacentral:lncRNA from 1 species
UUCGAUUAAUUUUCUAUAGACCCCAGAUUAAACAAAGAACUAAGGUAGCUUUCACACUGUUUUUUUUUUUGCUGAGCAUCCUGACCUUCCCACCACUGUUUGAUGCGAAUCUUAACACUUGACUUAGGUGAAGAGACCCGGUUACUAGACUUAGGGCAAUCCACAUUUACUCUGUGUUUUGUAUUUUAUUUCAGGCAGGUAGCUCUUUUCUUAAAUUUAAAUUUCUUCAAUUGGGGUGUAGAAAAAAUUAUCUAAUUUAAAUAAUACUCAAAUCCUUAAUUGGUCUUACAAUUAACACCUACUUUACCUUGUUAGUGUGCAUGUGCAAUUGGAAGUGCUAAUAGUCUUUAAAUGACCUAGGCCACCAAGAGUCUAACCAGCUAAUCAUCUCUGUGACUCACUACAUUUAUUUGCAAAUACUUUCUAACUUACUCUUAUUUCAUUUCUAGAUUAAUUUAUUUCAAUUUUUUUUUAAUAUAUUAAAUGCAAGAAAUAACUCAUAGUGGAAGGAAAAGGAAAUGAUAACACCUAAUUUUGUUCAGCGGCAUCUCUCCGAACCUCUAUGACGGCCGAAUCUCCGCAACAUUCCCAAGUUUUGCCAACGGAUCAACCCCCACC